AGGGUUCGAUUAUGGCUCAGGAUGAACGCUAGCGGCAGGCCUAACACAUGCAAGUCGAGGGGUAGCAUAAAGUGCUUGCACUUUGAUGACGACCGGCGCACGGGUGAGUAACGCGUAUACAAUCUGCCUCAUACUAGGGGAUAGCCCAGAGAAAUUUGGAUUAAUACCCUAUAGUAUCAUUUAGAGUCAUCUCUUUAUGAUUAAAGGUUACGGUAUGAGAUGAGUAUGCGUUCUAUUAGUUAGUAGGUGAGGUAACGGCUCACCUAGACCACGAUAGAUAGGGGCCCUGAGAGGGGGAUCCCCCACACUGGUACUGAGACACGGACCAGACUCCUACGGGAGGCAGCAGUGAGGAAUAUUAGACAAUGGGCGAAAGCCUGAUCUAGCCAUGCCGCGUGCAGGAUGACGGCCCUAUGGGUUGUAAACUGCUUUUAUACAGGAAGAAAAAACUCUACGUGUAGAGUCUUGACGGUACUGUAAGAAUAAGGAUCGGCUAACUCCGUGCCAGCCGCCGCGGUAAUAC
rnacentral:rRNA from 1 species